GACGAACGCUGGCGGCGUGCUUAACACAUGCAAGUCGAACGGUAAGGCCCUUCGGGGUACACCAGUGGCGCACGGGUGAGUAACACGUGGGAACGUGCCCUUCACUACGGGACAACGUCGGGAAACUGACGCUAAUACCGUAUAAUGUCUCCGGACCAAAGAUUUAUCGGUGAAGGAUCGGCCCGCGUCUGAUUAGCUAGUUGGUGAGGUAAUGGCUCACCAAGGCGACGAUCAGUAGCUGGUUUGAGAGAAUGAUCAGCCACACUGGGACUGAGACACGGCCCAGACUCCUACGGGAGGCAGCAGUGAGGAAUCUUGGACAAUGGGCGCAAGCCUGAUCCAGCCAUGCCGCGUGAGUGAUGAAGGCCUUAGGGUUGUAAAGCUCUUUUGCCGGGGAUGAUAAUGACCGUACCCGGAGAAUAAGCCACGGCUAAAUUCGUGCCAGCAGCCGCCGCCG
rnacentral:rRNA from 1 species